UGAUCCUGGCUCAGAUUGAACGCUGGCGGUAGGCUUAACACAUGCAAGUCGUGCGAGAAAGUAUCUUCGGAUAUGAGUAGAGCGGCGGACGGGUGAGUAACGCGUAGGAAUCUACCUAGUAGAAGGGGAUAGCCCGGGGAAACUCGGAUUAAUACCGUAUACCUCCUUCGGGAGAAAGAAGGCCUCUCAUUGAAGCUUUCGCUACUAGAUGAGCCUGCGUAAGAUUAGCUUGUUGGUGAGGUAAAGGCUCACCAAGGCAACGAUCUUUAGCGGGUCUGAGAGGACGAUCCGCCACAUUGGGACUGAGACACGGCCCAGACUCCUACGGGAGGCAGCAGUGGGGAAUAUUGGACAAUGGGCGCAAGCCUGAUCCAGCCAUACCGCGUGUGUGAAGAAGGCCCUAGGGUUGUAAAGCACUUUAAGUUGGGAAGAAAAGUUAUUGGUUAAUACCUAAUAACCGUGACAUUACCAUCAGAAUAAGGACCGGCUAAUUCCGUGCCAGCAGCCGCGGUAAUACGGAAGGUCCAAGCGUUAAUCGGAAUUACUGGGCGUAAAGCGCGCGUAGGUGGUUUAUUAAGUUGGAUGUGAAAUCCCCGGGCUCAACCUGGGAACUGCAUCCAAAACUGAUUCACUAGAGUACGAUAGAGGGAGGUAGAAUUCACAGUGUAGCGGUGGAAUGCGUAGAUAUUGUGAAGAAUACCAAUGGCGAAGGCAGCCUCCUGGAUCUGUACUGACACUGAGGUGCGAAAGCGUGGGUAGCGAACAGGAUUAGAUACCCUGGUAGU
rnacentral:rRNA from 1 species